AUCCAGCUGACGAGUCCCAAAUUGGACGAAACGCGCGUCAGACUGGAU
rnacentral:hammerhead_ribozyme from 1 species